AAACUUUCAACAACGGAUCUCUUGGUUCUGGCAUCGAUGAAGAACGCAGCGAAAUGCGAUAAGUAAUGUGAAUUGCAGAAUUCCGUGAAUCAUCGAAUCUUUGAACGCACAUUGCGCCCGCCAGUAUUCUGGCGGGCAUGCCUGUUCGAGCGUCAUU
rnacentral:rRNA from 4 species